AAAGGUUAGUACCCUUUUCGUAUUUGCAAAUUAGGGGUUUUUUGUUUUCUUCAAAUUGAUCUGUUUUUGUAUUUAGGGCAACAGAUUUUGUAUCUUUUGUGCUAAACUUUUUUGGCUUUUUCUUUGCUUUUUAGCUUAUGGGUUUUGGGUACAUGUGAAUUUAGGUUUUUUUUUUUUUUUUUUUAGCUCGAAUCUUGUAAAGUCUUUGCUUGUGCAUGUGAAUUUAAUUGUUUUACUUCGAAUCUCGUAAAGGGGUAGCUUGUGUAUGUGAAUUUAGUUUUUUUAGUUCAAAUCUCGUAAAGGGGUAGCUUGAGAAUGUGAAUUUAGUUGUUUUAGUUCAAAUCUCGAAAAGGGGUUGAGGAAACUUUGAUUCGUCGUUCCUGAUAUGUGAGUUCACUUUCUAUUAUAAGCAUAUUGAUGCUUGAAGAAUGUUGAAUUGUACUAGACCUGUCAGCAAGUGGGGAACAAAUGAAAUUUAGGGCAAAGAAUCCUAAUUCCCAAAUAGAGUUAACUGGAUAUAGAUAUAGCCUACCCCAAACAGUUUAAGAUAGAUUUGUACUUGUUGGUCGAAUUUGCAGUGCGGUCGGUGACUUGGACAAGUUAAUCUUUUCGACAGUAUUCCGGGGAUUAUGGUUAGAGACUAGAUCUGAAGCUCGAUUAUUGGAUGUACUAGUAAUCAGCUUUGACAAUUGCUCCUAAAUUGUUUGCCUGAAGCAUGAGAAUUGCUCAAGUUGUUUGCCUGAAGCAUUAAGUUCAUCCAUUAAUAUAAGGAGUUUACCACUCUUCUUAUAUACUUCUAGAUGAAGUGUGGCUAGUAUUAAAAAGGAGAAAGGAGGUAUUGAUUAAGAGCAGUCUUUCAAUACUCUAAGCUAUAACAUGUCCUUAUUGCUCAAAGGCUGAUAAAGUUACAAAGGAUACCCUAUGGGAUACAAGGCGGACAUAAAGAAGUAAACCUUACCUUAUUAAAAAAGAGAAAAAAAAAAAAAAAGAAGGCGGACAUAAAGAGUUACCAUAUUUCUAAAUGGGGGACAUUAACAUCCCUGUGAAGAUGGUGGGGAGGAGCUAAGGACUGGAGGGUAUUCAACUUAUUAUGAAAAUGGAUUCGAAGUUUUUAUGUAGAGUAAGAAGUGUUGCGGAGGAGGAUCAUGUCGUAGCAUUAUUGAAAUCAAUCAUGCAGCCUUAUAGAGCAACUCUACAAAGGAGCGUAAUGAAAGGGUGAGAAGAUUUGACAUAGAUAUCACAUUUAAGUAGCAAAAUAAGGCCAUAAUUUUUUUUUUUUUGAUCAGUAAAUAAUUUUAUUGAUAGGAAAAAUUAUCGAUAGUACGACAACUUUGCAAAGUGAGAGAGUACGAAAAAAGGAUAGGCUUUAUUUUGGAAAUAAAUCCAGAAAUUUUGAACUUCUGAAAAUGGUGCAACAAUAUCCCUUUUUUGUGAAACUUGUCUCUCGUCGUUAAUAUCUUGCCUACAAACAGCAGUACUCACUCUUGUAUGCCAGAAACAUAGAGAUUAAAUUUAUUUGGACCUGAAUUUCAAAAGGAAUUUGCAGUGCUAGGUGAUGGAAGAGCUCAACAAGGUGCUCCAAUCAUUCUACAAGCAAAAAACAUCACUUAUCGAUAAUAACAGCCACAAAUGAGAAGGGCGAGAGAUGAUCUUUUCUCAAUUAAGUCUUCUGAUAACAUACUACUUGAGAGAGAACGGGAACUUUCCUUACACGUCAUUUGUGUUCCCGGAGCUUCAAGGGAAAUGCCUUUAUUCACUUGAAAAACAACAUGGAAAGCUAUCCUCACAGCAGAAUUUGAGGAGUACGAUUAAUAUAAGUUGGUGUUUCUUAUGCAAGACUAUGGUAGAGAAUGUUAAUAAUUGUUGCUUCAUGGUUCGACGGAAAAUAUGUUAUGGUGCAUAGUUUGGAAGAUGUUUGAAACUGAAUGGUUGACAUCAAGAAUUGUUAGAGAGCUACUGCUAGGAUGGAAUUUUAGAAGGAAGAGGCUGAGAAUGAGAUUGUUGAAAUUAGCUCCUUUGUUACAUGUGGAUAAUAUAAACAGGAACAAAUAGAAGAGCAUUUGAAGGAGUUGAUAGACCCUUGUAAAUAGUUUUAGGUGGGUAUUUAUUGGUGCAUCAGCAAGUUCAGUCUUCCCUCAUGGAAUUUGAUGGAAGACUGACCAUAUAAUUUGUGUCUUCGGACAUGAGUGCUGGAUGCACAUUUAUAUAUUUAGGCUUGCAAAAUGGUUGUAUCUUCUAUGACCGUGCAUUAGCUGGCAGCAUCAGAUGCGCAUUUUAAUUGAUGUCCCUAGAAUGCCGCAUUAUCAGAGCUUUUCAGUGAUGAAGGAGUCUGAUUUUCCGUAUAAGUCUAUUUGGAUUCCUAGGGCACCUAGGAAGGUGUGUUUCUUCACGUGGUUGGCAGCUAGGGGAGCUAUCCUGACAACAUAGAAUUUGAGGAAGAGGAGGAUUACCUAGGUUAGUUGGUGUUAUAUGUGCAGAUGCUCCGGAGAGCAUGUAGAUCACCUUUUGUUGCAUUGGGACGUGGCCACGCGGUUAUGGGCGGUGGUUCUUAAUUGGGUUGGGAUAUCAUGGCUGAUGCCAGGUACAGCAACAGAGGCGUUGUAUAGUUGGGCCUUCAGAAGGAACAAGAGAAGACAGAGGGCUUGGGAUGUUGCUCCACAAGCCAUUAUGUGGAUUCUAUGGAGAGAGAGGAACAUGAGAGCUUUUGAAGUAGUAGUUAGUGAUGUUGUUAAGUUGCAAUAUAUGCUUUUCUCUUAUAUUUUCUUCUGGUGCACCUGUGAGGUGCCACCAAGUAUAGAGGAUUGUUGCUAUGUAGGGAGGCAUAUUUUGUUGUAAGUUCUCUACCUUUUAGUAUA